CGCAUAAACACAGAGCCAGGAGAGGCUCCCCAAGCUCAAACCCUAGUUAUCAAGAAUUGACUAAAUUGAAGGCCAAAUUCCGUUCCAAAUCGCAAUCCAAGCAUAGAAUAAUGAUCUCCUCUGAAAGAGGAUCAUAAGGCAAGGAAAUCGGAACGUCAAGCGGACAAGCUAAUGGCGAUACGCGUUUGAAGGGGGCGCUUGGAAGGUGAUGUUGGAUUUAACCGGGAGAUAAUCGAGCUAGCUUUUGAAGAACCGAACACUACCUACAAGCUUCCGCUUUAGUUUUACUCUUAAUGGACUAUGUUUUGGGAAUGUAAA